rnacentral:misc_RNA from 1 species
CGCAUGUGCGCUCAUCACUUGAAAAUGCGCUCUGACAGUCAAGGUCUAUCUGCGUGGCACAGUUCGAGCGCCGUGCGGUGUUGUAAAAAGCUGCUCGCGAGGCACCGAACCCGUCGCUCAUGUGGUUAGAGCGCAGCCUUGAUAAGGGUGAGGUCGGAGAUUCAACUCCUCCCCCGGCCCACCACUGCUCGUUUGGUGGCUCUAGCUCAGCUGUGAGAGCGGUUGCUCUGCAAGCAUCAGGUCAUAGGUGCGAUCCCGAUAAGCUCCACCAAGCAGUUUGCGUAGCGAUGUUUCCCGGAGCAGCGGACAAUUUCCAGGGAUGAAGAGAAACGGUUUGCCAGCCAAGGGCUGGUGAUAUGGAGCGCAUUGCGCUCCUCUUUGACAUUGUGAAUGGGUUUUUUAAUCGAUGCCGUGGCGACAUGGUUUUCGGUUCCGCGCGAUCUUCGGAUCGGAUGGAAACGGAAGCGAUGAUCGUACACGAAUGAUUAUCUGGCUGAGUUUAAUAACCGCAUUGUUCAACGGCAGGAAAAGCACUUGAUCUUCCAGUGUGUCGUGUGUGCGACCUCAGGUCCGG